rnacentral:rRNA from 1 species
UACGGGGGGGGCAAGCGUUGUUCGGAAUUACUGGGCGUAAAGGGCUCGUAGGCGGCCAACUAAGUCGGAUGUGAAAUCCCUCGGCUUAACCGGGGAACUGCGUCUGAUACUGGAUGGCUUGAGUUUGGGAGAGGGAUGCGGAAUUCCAGGUGUAGCGGUGAAAUGCGUAGAUAUCUGGAGGAACACCGGUGGCGAAGGCGGCAUCCUGGACCAACACUGACACUGAGGAGCGAAAGCCAGGGGAGCAAACGGG